rnacentral:rRNA from 1 species
AGAAUCAACGCUGGCGGCGUGCCUAACACAUGCAAGCCGAACGCGAAAGUGGAGCAAUCCAUUAGUAGAGUGGCAAACGGGUGAGUAACACGUGGGCGACCUACCUCAGAGUGGGGGAUAACCUUCCGAAAGGAGGGCUAAUACCGCAUGACAUCCCGUGUUUGGAUACACGGAGAUCAAAGCCGGGAUCGCAAGACCUGGCGCUUGGGAGGACGGGCCCGCGUCCGAUUAGCUAGUUGGUGAGGUAACGCUCACCAAGGCUCCGAUCGGUA